UACGUAGGGUGCGAGCGUUGCCCGGAUUUAUUGGGCGUAAAGGGCGCGUAGGCGGCCACGCACGUCCGUUGUGAAAUCGCCCGGCUCAACUGGGCGGGGUCAGCGGAUACGGUGUGGCUCGAGCAAGCUAGGGGGCAAUGGAACUCCCGGUGUAGUGGUGGAAUGCGUAGAUAUCGGGAAGAACACCAGUGGCGAAGGCGGUUGCCUGGAGCUUUGCUGACGCUGAUGCGCGAAAGCGUGGGGAGCGAGUCCGG
rnacentral:rRNA from 1 species